AGCCGUGGGCAGGGGCGCGCCGCACGCGCCGGCGCCGCGAGUGGAUCUCCGCGCGGAGCGGAUGUCGGCCGCCCGGCGACCUGCGAGACGGGGCUGGAUCCACCCGCCAGCAAGUUGCAGUUUUGUCCACUGCGGUCCUGGAAACUUGGAGCCUUGGCUUUGCGGGCCUGAUCUUUGGAUCCAAAGGAGAUUAAAAAGAUGCCCUCAAGACUGCUGAGCCUGCCAGUUGUACUCGAAGGUUUUCUGAGCCCAGUGGAUUUACAGUGAGAUUCAGCUGCCUGGGGGAAUGAUACUGUCAGACUCGCAUCCUGGAAGUAGACUCACGGGUGCUUAUCAGGAUGCUGAAGGUGUUUUCAGGAAGGCAGCGGCAGAGUGCCCAUGGGGUCUCUCAGCCUGGAUGCCCACGAGGGACCUGACCUCAGCUGCCCACGAGGGCUGAGCUCUCCGACCUUGCCUUGGAUGGGGAUGUUUUGUGAGGUCUCUGCUAGCUCCCUUGGGGUCCCUCUGAAACGUAAGAAUCCUGUCACACCUGGGAUUUAGGUGCUUGUAACCUGAAAAAGAUGCGUAUCCAUUCAGCACUGCAGAAGAACUUGAGGAUAUCUUUCUUGAGCUCAGAACUACUUGGGAAUUUGGAGAAUUGAGGAGGGUUUGUGCUCCCGUGAGAAUCUGAUGCUGAAGCUGAUCUGACAGAAGGCAGAGCUCAGACAGUAAUUGGAGCCAUGGGGAGCAGCUCAGAAGACGAACGAGGCGUCCUUCACUUGCUCACCACUUGCCCGCUGCUGUGUGGCCCUAACAGGCUACAGACCAGUAAUGAAGAAACUGAGAAAGCUGGAGGAGGAGUCUGCUUAGCAAAUGUCAAGCACCUCUGAAAAACAGGACAAUCAUUUGAGCUCCAGCCAUCCUACUAGUCACCUACAGUAGGAUCUGGGGUGCCCAACAAAAGGCCACUGAGACUCUGUGAAGUAGGGGAAUACAUUCCCAGCCAAAGAAGACUCAGGUGAGAAAACCAUCACGCAGAGAUGUUAAGCAACUCAGCAGAAGUCACACCAUUGAAAAGUAGCCAAGAUGGAAGUCCACAUGCUAAGAAAUUCCAGGUUACUACGACUCUCCAGGAGCCUGCAAGAGACUGUAGUACACCUACUCAGGAGGCAAAGGCAGCAGUCAUACUGACCUAGAGAGAAUUGAAUGCAUUUUCCAAAACACUUAGAAGACACAGGAACUGGGAAGAGGAGCUUAGAAAAUUACCACCACCCCCCAAAAAGGAAUGCGCACUCCCUCCUUCCCAGCCUGUCUCCUAGUGCACAUAAUAUCUCUCACCAUUGGUUUGGUCACUGCUGAGCUAUCUUCAUUUAAUGUGGUUUUGACAAAAUAGUUGGUCUGGAAAUUUUAUUUUCAAUUAAACUUACUUGUUGAGCUGCCUCGGUUUUGAAAGGGUUCCAUUAGGAUGGCUAAUUAUAUAGCAGUUGCUACAAGGAGAUAUUUGCACUCAAUUUCAGCUCUUAGGUAAUUCAACUCAAAUGCUUUCUUUAUAUUUUUUCCUCCCUGGAGCAGCGCACAACCCAUCUUCCUCUCACACUACAGGCUUCCCGUGAGCUAUUUUUAGAAACCCAAAUCAAAACAGCAAUUUUGGCGGAGGCCAUUUGUAGCCUAGCAGAGUAAACCAUAUGUACUGAUAAAAACAGCCAAAACCACCUCCCUGGUUGUGGGGUCAGAUGUCUGGGAGCUGCAGGCUGACCUUUAUACUAAAACAUUCCUUUGAAACCGCUAGCUGAAGUCAAAGGCAAUGGAGCCGCCUUUAAAAUGACAAAGGGUUUGUGCCUUUGCAGACAAUUGCCACAGUCCCUGCAUUUCACAAUGGCAGCUCUGGCAGUAUUUCCUGGGGCUCUGUUAUGGUCUCUGGGUCCCUGGUCGAGGAGGGAGGGCACUUCCUUGAUUUUCUCUACUCUGCUUUCUUUGAGCAGCACACACUCACUACCUCCUUGUGCUUACCCUCAGGGUCACCCCCUGCCCACAGGCAGAGUAUAAGGUGAAGGGUAGGGCUGUACUUUUCACCCUGUGGUAUUCUUGGUGCACAGUAGGUGCGAAUACGCAGAUGAGUCAUUACAAUGCUAUUUGCAUUCUCAUUUUGAAAAAUGUCAAUCUUUUAUUACAUAGAUACUAAGUGAAUGUAUUUAUCUUAGGGCAAAAAAAAAAACCCUUGCCAAAUAAGGCUGAAUGUCCUCCAAGUCACCAUCUCCAGCCCUUGUCUCUUCGUUACAAGCAUUUGUCAUCAUUUAGAACACAUCUUUACAGACCUUCCUAAUACAUUUCUGCACAUUAUGCACACACACACAGUCAACCUCUAGACCUGUGAUAAGCAGAAUAUUACAAAGCUUAUCCAGUUUCACUCAGCAGUCUAUCCAGGGGUGCAGUGCACGGCCACCUCUUUCCUUUGAACUGCUGCACAGUUUUAUUACACUGAGUAGAUACGCCAUCUCUGAUUAGAACCAAAUAAAUUCCUUUACCUGCUUUCCUCAUUAGACCUCUAGAUCCAUUCUCAUGUGUAGGUUGACCAACUAGCCAUAUCCACUGCUAUCUAGGUAGCUAUAUAACAUUCUGUUAAAACCAGCCACCUUCCUAGGAGAUUAUGCCAAGCCAGUAGAGACAAGUGUGUGAAAUUCUAAGGGUUGCCAAUGAGACCAAAAUUCUUUUGUCCUCCACCUAAGGAAUAGCACUGUGCCCUGGGAAUUGCCUAGUAGUGGAGAGGGAGUGCUGUGGGAUUCAGCUGGGCUCUGCUCACAGCCAAGGUGUUCCUGGAUGGGCCCUCGCUCCCCAGACCUUGUCUUUCUUAUUUGUACAAUGGACUCAGGGAACCUCUUGAAGCUGUUAGGCUGUGAAUAAUAGGCCUUUCACAGUGCUACCAGGAUUGCCCCACAGAAUGUGUGAUUGGUUCUUUGUCUGCUGUGUGUAGGCUGGGGAAAGAGGCAGCCCCCAGCACACCCCAGUCCAGAGCUCUUCCUGAGACCACGCCAUGAAGAACCCGGGAAGGACUGCCUCUGGACUGUACCCUUCUUUCCUAUUGCUUUGUCAUUCAAUUAAAAUUAGUAUUACAGUU